GGGUUGUGAGGUUAAGCGACUAAGCGUACACGGUGGAUGCCCUGGCAGUCAGAGGCGAUGAAGGACGUGCUAAUCUGCGAAAAGCGUCGGUAAGGUGAUAUGAACCGUUACAGCCGGCGAUGUCCGAAUGGGGAAACCCAGUGCAAUUCGUUGCACUAUCGUUAACUGAAUACAUAGGUUAACGAGGCGAACCGGGGGGAACUGAAACAUCUAAGUACCCCGAGGAAAAGAAAUCAACCGAGAUUCCCCCAGUAGCGGCGAGCGAACGGGGAGCAGCCCAGAGUCUGAAUCAGCUUGUGUGUUAGUGGAACGGUCUGGAAAGUCCGACGGUACAGGGUGAUAGUCCCGUACACCAAAAUGCACAGGCUGUGAACUCGAAGAGUAGGGCGGGACACGUGGUAUCCUGUCUGAAUAUGGGGGGACCAUCCUCCAAGGCUAAAUACUCCUGACUGACCGAUAGUGAACCAGUACCGUGAGGGAAAGGCGAAAAGAACCCCGGCGAGGGGAGUGAAAAAGAACCUGAAACCGUGUACGUACAAGCAGUGGGAGCACCUUCGGGUGUGACUGCGUACCUUUUGUAUAAUGGGUCAGCGACUUAUAUUCUGUAGCAAGGUUAACCGUAUAGGGGAGCCGCAGGGAAACCGAGUCUUAACUGGGCGUUAAGUUGCAGGGUAUAGACCCGAAACCCGGUGAUCUAGCCAUGGGCAGGUUGAAGGUUGGGUAACACUAACUGGAGGACCGAACCGACUAAUGUUGAAAAAUUAGCGGAUGACUUGUGGCUGGGGGUGAAAGGCCAAUCAAACCGGGAGAUAGCUGGUUCUCCCCGAAAGCUAUUUAGGUAGCGCCUCGUGAAUUCAUCUUCGGGGGUAGAGCACUGUUUCGGCUAGGGGGUCAUCCCGACUUACCAACCCGAUGCAAACUACGAAUACCGAAGAAUGUUAUCACGGGAGACACACGGCGGGUGCUAACGUCCGUCGUGAAGAGGGGAAACAACCCAGACCGCCAGCUAAGGUCCCAAAGUCAUGGUUAAGUGGGAAACGAUGUGGGAAGGCACAGACAGCCAGGAUGUUGGCUUAGAAGCAGCCAUCAUUUAAAGAAAGCGUAAUAGCUCACUGGUCGAGUCGGCCUGCGCGGAAGAUGUAACGGGGCUAAACCAUGCACCGAAGCUGCGGCAGCGACACUAUGUGUUGUUGGGUAGGGGAGCGUUCUGUAAGCCUGCGAAGGUGACCUGUGAGGGUUGCUGGAGGUAUCAGAAGUGCGAAUGCUGACAUAAGUAACGAUAAAGCGGGUGAAAAGCCCGCUCGCCGGAAGACCAAGGGUUCCUGUCCAACGUUAAUCGGGGCAGGGUGAGUCGACCCCUAAGGCGAGGCCGAAAGGCGUAGUCGAUGGGAAACAGGUUAAUAUUCCUGUACUUGGUGUUACUGCGAAGGGGGGACGGAGAAGGCUAUGUUAGCCGGGCGACGGUUGUCCCGGUUUAAGCAUGUAGGCUGGUUAUCCAGGCAAAUCCGGAUAAUCAAGGCUGAGGUGUGAUGACGAGGCACUACGGUGCUGAAGUAACAAAUGCCCUGCUUCCAGGAAAAGCCUCUAAGCAUCAGGUAACAUCAAAUCGUACCCCAAACCGACACAGGUGGUCAGGUAGAGAAUACCAAGGCGCUUGAGAGAACUCGGGUGAAGGAACUAGGCAAAAUGGUGCCGUAACUUCGGGAGAAGGCACGCUGGUGUGUAGGUGAAGUCCCUGCGGAUGGAGCUGAGACCAGUCGAAGAUACCAGCUGGCUGCAACUGUUUAUUAAAAACACAGCACUGUGCAAACACGAAAGUGGACGUAUACGGUGUGACGCCUGCCCGGUGCCGGAAGGUUAAUUGAUGGGGUUAUCCGUAAGGAGAAGCUCUUGAUCGAAGCCCCGGUAAACGGCGGCCGUAACUAUAACGGUCCUAAGGUAGCGAAAUUCCUUGUCGGGUAAGUUCCGACCUGCACGAAUGGCGUAAUGAUGGCCAGGCUGUCUCCACCCGAGACUCAGUGAAAUUGAACUCGCUGUGAAGAUGCAGUGUACCCGCGGCAAGACGGAAAGACCCCGUGAACCUUUACUAUAGCUUGACACUGAACAUUGAGCCUUGAUGUGUAGGAUAGGUGGGAGGCUUUGAAGCGUGGACGCCAGUCUGCGUGGAGCCAACCUUGAAAUACCACCCUUUAAUGUUUGAUGUUCUAACGUUGGCCCCUGACCGGGGUUGCGGACAGUGUCUGGUGGGUAGUUUGACUGGGGCGGUCUCCUCCCAAAGCGUAACGGAGGAGCACGAAGGUUAGCUAAUCCUGGUCGGACAUCAGGAGGUUAGUGCAAUGGCAUAAGCUAGCUUGACUGCGAGCGUGACGGCGCGAGCAGGUGCGAAAGCAGGUCAUAGUGAUCCGGUGGUUCUGAAUGGAAGGGCCAUCGCUCAACGGAUAAAAGGUACUCCGGGGAUAACAGGCUGAUACCGCCCAAGAGUUCAUAUCGACGGCGGUGUUUGGCACCUCGAUGUCGGCUCAUCACAUCCUGGGGCUGAAGUAGGUCCCAAGGGUAUGGCUGUUCGCCAUUUAAAGUGGUACGCGAGCUGGGUUUAGAACGUCGUGAGACAGUUCGGUCCCUAUCUGCCGUGGGCGCUGGAGAAUUGAGGGGGGCUGCUCCUAGUACGAGAGGACCGGAGUGGACGCAUCACUGGUGUUCGGGUUGUCAUGCCAAUGGCACUGCCCGGUAGCUAAAUGCGGAAGAGAUAAGUGCUGAAAGCAUCUAAGCACGAAACUUGCCCCGAGAUGAGUUCUCCCUGAGACUUUAAGUCUCCUGAAGGAACGUUAAAGACGAUGACGUUGAUAGGCCGGGUGUGUAAGCGCAGCGAUGCGUUGAGCUAACCGGUACUAAUGAACCGUGAGGCUUAACCUUACAACGCCGAAG
rnacentral:rRNA from 1 species